ensembl:lncRNA
CCUGCCCGUCCCACGUGCUCUGUGUGUAGACUCCGCAGAGGUGCCUGGAGACUGUGUUGUGCAGCCGGACUGGAGGGAGGGAGGGGAGUGCGGCCGGCCCAGUGGGAAGACCAGACCCUUCAAGGACUUGAAGGCCAUGCUGAGAGUUAGGGCUUCGUCCUGGAGGCGGUAGGAAACCACAGAGCGUUUUAAGUGGAGGCGAGACAGCAAGAGAAUCAGAAGGUCUAGCAACUCUGGGAGUCUCCACCUCGCAUGGUGCGAUGGCCAGAGUUAAGUAGCGGCCACCUCUACGGACAGAACGCCACUCUCCAGCUUGCCACAUCACCCAGGAACCCCGCUGCAGGUGUACAUUCCCAGGAACUCCCAAGGCACUUGAGAUUUUGAUCCACAGGUAGGGGAACAGUGUGGGGGGCACAAACUUAACAACAAGUGGCGAUUCCCUGAGCUGAUCCCAGCUGCCCCCCUUAAGGAGGCAACAUCUGAACAUGGAAGCUUUGACCAAGCCCCCCUCACCAGUCAGAACGGAGGUAAAGCCAGAGCCACGGGCAGCUCCCAGUCUCCCAAUUCUGAUCUUGCUUCUUGCUUCACUGCACUCGCUUGCUGAAAACCUUCCAAUUGCUUCUCAUUGCCCCAAGACUAAAGUCCAGGGUCUGGAGAAGGUGCUGAGCCCCAGGCCCUCCCUCCCCCGCCAGCUCCUCCAUGCUCCCCGACUCCUCAGCCUUCCGGCGAGGCUUCCCUGAGCACCUUCCGAAGCUGUCCCCCUUCCCCUAGCCAGACACUUUCUAUCUUGCUGUCUUGCUUUCUUCUCAUCCAAAAAUUAUGUGCCUAACUUACUCAUUUACUAUGGGUCUCCCCACAGCAUGCAGACUUCACCAUGGCAAAGUCCGGCAUACCUAGACACUGCCGGUCCAUCUGAGCUUUCAACAGAUGCUGUUGAGUAAACAGGUGGCAGGUGGGGGCCUUGUGCCAUCUUUCCUGCGUCUCGCCUCCCUCCCCCAGGGCUCAGAGUCAGGCUCAGGGACCCGGUGAAGAUGACCAUUUGGUAACUUACUUGGUGAUUUUAAAAAGCUGACUUAAAACUUUGUCAAUAUACACUUGCCGCAAAAUGUUGUGCCCGCCACUGCCUUCCGUGGCUCACGGGGACGAUCAUUUCACUUUUCCGACCCUGUCUCCUCAUGCAUGUCACAGGGAUAAAUAACAUCCGCCUCGUGGGGCUGCUUGUGAGAAUGAAAUGCGACGGGCACUUGCAGUUCCCACCGGCACCUUCGCCAUAGUAGGUGCUUGACUAAGUACGCCGGGCCCUUCACCGUUCCCGCCCCACCCCCCCAACUUUCCCCUUUCAGUCGGAGCUGGAAGAAAGCGCGUCAAUCACGGGAUAAUUUAUGCAGCGUGAUAUGCCUUUAUUAUUCCACGCUGAGUCGGGGCUUCUACUGUCCAAUGAAGGUCAAAAGGAGGUAUGGCUUUUAUCUCUCCAGCAACUCUGGAAGCAUGGGGGGAGGGGGCGGACUCUCAGAGGCUUCCUCCUGAAAACAAACAGAUCCUCGCGGCGGCCCUGAAUAGCUUUCCUCAAUCAAAGCUGUAAAAGUCCGCGAGCAGCGGGGCCUCGCCCUGGGACUGGAGCGAACUAAUAAAGCGUUGAAUGGAGAGAGUGACCCCGAACUGGCAGAGGGGUCCCCGCUGGGCCUGGGCCCGCGCCUGCUGCCUCGCGGAGAAUCCAGAGGUCACGUGUCAUUAGUCAGUGUCUUACCGCGACCCUUUCAAAAUUAUCGAUAAAGGGGAAGGAGAUCCUUUCUGUUUCGAAUCCCCGAACGAUUUUCUUCUCUCUUUUCUUUCUUUUUUCACUGGUGGAAAGGCUACAUGGCAACAUCUUUUUCCUGUUUUCUUUCAGACGCGAGAAGAACUGGUUUGAAAUCAGGAGUUUCAUGCUUGGGGAGAAAUAAAGGUUGGGACCAGAUUCUUUUCUUUUUGAUGCAGUUUCUCAGUGAAGCCCCUGCUCUGAGAAGUCACUAGAUUUGGGUUCCCAUGAAAACUUGUCUUGUUUCAUCCUCGUCCUAAAGCCUGUCUCAACAGUUCUAAAAACUCCCGAGGCGUCUCUCUUCUCUCUGUCCUCAGUUUGGGUGAAGGCCGCCUGGGACCUCUGUAAAGACAGGAGGGGGCGCUGGAUCUCAAACAGCUGGGAGCCUCCACAAUCGCCUGUUCUCCCCAUGACUCAGUUUCCUCAUCCGUACACAACGGGCAGCGUCCUGGGCCCAGUGGGAAGUGACCUGGAUGACCUCAUUAGGGUCUGAGGAGCACUUUAAAGAGAUAAUCGGCCAUUACUCUAAUGGGAACAAUGAUGAUGAUAUUAUUUCCUUUAUUGUUUACUCAGCCCCAGCAGUUUACAGCUGAGGCCAACAGGUGGUUGUGGUCGCGUUAAUCUUUAAUCCAUUAGCCACGAUCGAUUCCAUGACAUUCCUGGGUUUAUAGGUAGUCGUUAUAUUGCUUUUUAUUUGUUGUAUAUUUUGUGAAUUAAUUAAGGGCCGCAUCAUACCUCAUCUGAAAAUGCCUGUUGCAAAGGCAGUCUUGAUGCAUGUGCAUGUGCUCUUAGUCAAAAUGACCCUUCGGAGUUCCUUAAAUCAUUCGUAAAGCACUGUAUAUGGGAUUAUGUGUGUAUAACACUGUAUAGUAAUAAACAUAGAGAGACAUAACAAAAACAGUAAGGGGCAGAUUGGAAUAAAUCCUAUUGCUUUGGACAUCAGAUGAAGCACCUGGCUGGUGUUGAGAAGGACAUGUUUUAUGAAUAUUUUGUACCUUUAAACCCUAGAAUCCUGCUCCUCAAGGCAAGAUGCUCAGAGGUGCCCCCACCCUAUUUAAAUCUCUCAUGUUAAAAUAGAAUUUGAAUAAGUUAAAUGCUCUUGUAAUGUGACCUCCAGGGUAACUAUUUUUUCCCACGGGCUCAUCUGUGAGUAUUGGGUUAUUUUAACUCCGAAUAAAUGAAUAGACCCACAUCUCAUUUGUCUCAAAUGAGCAGCCAGUCAGUCCCUCAGUGUUUGGUGGACACUCUCCACGUCUCACUGGGCUGUAAUUGGCCUUUCUGUCCUCGAGAAUUUAGGAACCCAGCAGAGGCUCCGGCUGGCUUGACGUCAGGCCCCCCUUGAGCUUCCAGUCAUCCUCAGAGGAUCCCUAAACGAAGGUCCCCAGCCAAGCUGCAGGGACUCAGUCCUUGUCCUGCCCUUCCUGGGCUUCUCCUGGCCUGAGAAAUGGGGCCCAAUUGGGUUUGUCCUGCCCAGAAACAAGACCCUGGUUUAUCACGUUGGUUUAGCGCAUGGAAAUUUCAGGUGUACCUCGUUAGAUUUCGUCUUCUCUAUAGACUGCAUGGAGUUCGCCAUCAAAAGUCUAGUUUCCAUCCACCACCAUACACAUGUGCCCCUUUUUUCAUUUCUUAUAACGAUUGGUUUAUUUUUUGUUAUUGUUUUUGAUUCUAUGGAUUCUUUUUAUCAUUGAUAAUUAGCUUUCAUGAUGAUGAUUCUUUCCAUUUUUACCAGCCUGGAUUAUUUACUGUCAUACAGGAGUGUGACAUAAAGGAAUGAUUAUUAAUUGUCCCUGACAAUGUAAGCAUCAACUCAAAUGAUGGCAAUGAUCACAUCACCAGUCUUAUCUUUCCUGUUCAUGUGCAGCGGGGAAGUUACACAUUUAUUCAUUCCUUUAUCUGAAUUUGUUUUCCUCAAAUCGCAAAACAAGGGGCAUCAAGUUGUGACGUGUCUCAUUUGGCUCUGCUCAGACUUUUUAAGAGGACACAGUUGCCAAGAGUAGGGGCUGGUGUCACCCGCUCUGUGCCCUGGCUUUCUCCCCGUGUAGCAUGUGGGUGAUUACCGUCUGUAUUUCACGGGCCUGUUAGGAGGCUUAAAUGGGACCCUGUAAAGCUCUUAGUACAAAAUGGUUCACAAGUGAUGCCCAUGGUUAGACAAGAGGUGAUACUUGGGCCUCAGUUUCUUCAUUAAUAAAAUGGAUGUGUUAGGGCCUGCCCUGUGGCUGAGUGGUCAAUUCGAAGGGCUGGGCUUCGGCAGCCUGGGUUUUCGCUGGUUUGGAUCCCGGGCACGGACAUGGCACUGCUCAUCAGGCCAUGCUGAAGCAGCGUCCCACAUAGCACAGCCAGGAGGACCUGCAGCUUGAAUAUACAACUAUGUCCUGGAGGGCUUUGAGGAGAAGAAGAAAAAAAAAAGCACAAAAAAAGAUUGGCAACAGAUGUUAGUUCAGGUGCCAAAAAGAAAUAAAAUGGAAGUGCUGACCCUCCCUGCCUGAAUCCUGUGGGGAUUUGGGGCUACCGAGUGGCGGGUAAAGUGUCCAGCGUUUGGUCAGUGCUGCCUCACUGCUGACUCCCGUCUCCUUCCCACUUGUUCACCUUGAACCCCAGGGAGCUUCUGUGAGAGGGAAAACAUAGCUUAGCCUGGCCCAGGGCGGAGGCCCCGCCCCACGAGGAGCCCUGAAACCUCAACCUGGCCAACAGAGCCAGGAAUGGAGCCAUGAACACACGGGGCCCAUCCCCUUAGGAGCAGAGAAGGCAGCCGGGUUCUUUCUAAGCUUUCUGCUGGGGACUCACAUUUUGUUAGCAUGGAGAUAAAUAACGCCAGAUAAGAGGCCUCUGGUUUUACAUCUGGGGCUGUAGGAACGUCCUCUGGGAGAGGAGGCAGGACGUUUCUUGCCAGGGCGAAUCCCAGCCCGGGAGGAGGCAGGCGGCGCCGCCUGCGGCUUCCUAGCUCAGUGGGGAGCAAGUUUUGACAACAGCAAUGCUAAUUGAUUAAAUGUUCUCAUCAGAGAUUACAGUGCAGAGAGUGAUCACAUUUUUAUUUCUGCAGAGUGGGGAGGGGCUUCCCUUCCUUUAAUAGCUCCGUUUAUCCGUGUAUAUUGUAACCCAAUGUACAAGGGGCCCUGAUUCGUUAUUCCUGGACCCUCAGGCUCAGUCACUCUCAUCUUAGAUAACAUGUUUACUAUAAACUACUUGGUGCAAUUGCCUUUGGUUUUCUGGGUUUGGUCGGAAUUUGAUCCUGCAGUGGACAGAGCACCGGACUUCAGAGUUGUAGGAUCGAACCCUGGUCCUGCCACGUAGCCGGUGUGUGGGUUUGGGAAGGCACUUGCAUUCUCUGCGUGGGUCUCGCUUUUCUUAUCCGUAAAAUGGGGACUCGAUAUACCUAUUUCUUAAAAAACUACAGUGCAGGGGCCGGCCCCAUGGCCUAGUGGUUAAGUUCGUACACUCUGCUUCGGUGGCCCAGGGUUUUGCUGGUUGGGAUCCUGGGUGGGGACCUAGCACCGCUCAUCAAGCCAUGCUGAGGCAGCAUCCCACAUGCCACAACUAGAAUGACUCACGACUAAAAUAUACAACUAUGUACUGGGGGGCUUUGGGGAGAAGAAGGAAAAAAUGUAUACAGAGAGCAGGUUAAAAAAAAAGCCAUAAGCUUUCCUUAAAAAACAAACAAACAGGGGCCCGCCCAGUGGCACAGCGGUUAAAUUUGCAUGUUCUGCUUCAGCUUCUCUGGUUCAGAUCCUGUGUGCGGACCUAUGCACUGCUUAUCAAGCCAUGCUGUGGUAGGUGUCCCACAUAGAAAGUGGAGGAAGAUGGGCACAGAUGUUAGCUCAGGGACAGUCUUCCUCAGCAAAAAGAGGAGGAUUGGCAGCGGAUGUUAGCUCAUGGCUCAUCUGCCUCAAAAAAACCUCCAAACAAACAAAUAAAAGCCUUUGACAAAAGACACUGUGAAGGUGCUGGCCCCAUGGCUGAGUGGUUGAAGUUCUGUGUGCUCCGUUUGGCGGCCAGGGUUUGCAGGUUUGGAUCCCAAGUGCAGAUCUGCUCCACUCAUCAGCCAUGCUGUGGAGGCAUCCCACAUACAAAGUAGAGGAAGAUUGGCACAGAUGUUAGCUCAGGGCUAAUCUUCCUCAAGCAAAAAAAAAAAAAAAAAAAAAGAGAGAGAAUUGGCAAUGGAUGUUAGCUCAGGGUGAAACUUCCUCUCCCAAAAAAGAGACCAAUACACUGUGAAGACAAUGAAAAGGCAGCCAGAGGCUAGGAGAAAAUAGUUGCAAUACAUAUAUUUGACAUAGUAUUUGUAAUCAGAAUAUAUAAAGAAUUUUUUCAACUCAAUAAUAAGACAUCAAAUAGCCCAGUUAAAAAAUGAGCAAGAGUUGGACACUUCACCAAAGAACUUAUGCAAAUGGUCAGUAAGCACAAUACAAGAUGCUCAACACGAUUAAUCAUCAGAGAAUUGCAAAUUAAAACCAUAGUGAGAUACCACUCCACACCCAUUAGAAGGGCUAAAAUCAAAAACACCAACAACGCUUCUGCUGGCUAGGGCAGGAAUCAGUGGGAACCCACACGUGGCACUCGGAAAUGUAUGGGGGCCGGCCCAGUGGCACAGCGGUUAAGUGCACAUGUUCCUCUUUGGCAGCCCCGGGUUCAUUGGUUUGGAUCCCGGGAGCACUCAUGGCACCGUUUGUCAAGCCAUGCUGUGGCAGGCGUCCCACAUAUAAAGUAAAUGAAGAUGGGCACGGAUGUUAGCUGAGGGCCAGUCUUCCUCAGCAAAAAGAGGAGGAUUGGCAGCAGAUGUUAGCUCAGGGCUAAUCUUCCUAAAAAAAAAAAAAAAAAGGAAAUGUAUAAUGGUACAAACCUGAGAAAAGCAGUUUGGCAGUUUUUUAAAAAUAAAAUUAAACAUGUAUCUAUUAUAUGACACAGCAAUUCUACUCUCUACUCCUAAGUAUUUAUUCGGGAAAAAAAUGAAAAUGUGCACAUGAAUCUUGACAGCAGCUUUAUUCCUAAUAGCCAAAGACUGGAAACAACCCGAAUGGCCAUCAGAAGGUGAGUGGAUAAGUUGUGGUACACCCAUACAGUGGGAUACGUCUCAGCCAGAAAGAGGAAUGAACGAGUGAUACAGGCGACAACAUGGAUGAAUCUCAAAAACACUACGGCGAGCAAAAGAAGCCACAUACAAAAGAGUACAGACCAUACAGUUUCAUUUAUAUGAAGUUCUAGAAGAGGCAAAGUGAAUGUAUGGUGAAAGAAACAACAUCAGUGGUUCUCUCUUGGGAGGUGGCAGGGAGAGUCUGGAAAGGAGCUGAAGGAACUUUCUGGGAAGAUGUUCUCUAUACUGUCGUGGUGGUGGUCUCAGGAUGGUGUACAAAUUAAAUGAAAAACCCAUUGAGCUAUAUCCUGAAGAUCUAUGCAUUUUAUGUACAUGAAUUGUACCUCAAUAAAGUAAUGUCAAAACAUCAUCAGACAUAUUAUCUCCUUGUUGAAAAGAGGGAAGCAGAUCAAUUACAAUUCAACUCAAGCUGGCUGCCCAGGAAAUUCUUUCUCCUAAACUGAGCCCUGGGCAGAGUCAGUAUUCAAAAAUAUGCGUCUCUUCAGCCAGAGUGGCUACAGUGAAAAAGACGGACAAUGAGGAGCAGUGGAACUCUCACACACUGCUGGUGGGGGUGUAGAUGGUAAAACCCCUCCGGAAAAUUGUUUGACAAUAUCUGCUAAAGUUAAACACUUGCGCACCUUGUGCCCUAGUAAUUCCAUCCUGGAUAUACACCCAAGAGAAAUGAGUCCACAUGUCCUUUAAAAGACAGAGGCAAGAACACAUACAGCGGCACUCUUUGUAAUAGCUCCGGCCUCGAAACUAUCCAAAUGGAAGUUGCAGUGGAAGGCCUAAGUGGAUUGUGGUAUAGUCAUACAUUGGAAUACUAUACAGCAAUGAGAAUGAACAAAAUGCAACUACACACAACAUAACAUUGAGCAGAAGAAGCCAGACUCAAAAGAGUACACACUGCAGGACUCCGUUUACAUAAAGCUCAAAAACAGGCAAAACCAGCCUAUGGCAAAAGAAAUCAGAGCAGUGGUUGCUUUUGGUGUGCAAGGGCCUGGAAUUGACUGAGAAGGAGUACAAAGGAUUAUUCUGGGGUAAUGGAACAUUCUAGAUCUUGAUUGUAUUGUACAUAGUUGUAUAUCUUAGCUGCAGGUCCUUCCAGUUGUGACAUGUGGGAUGCCACCUCAACGUGGCCUGACGAGCGGUGCCGUGGAUCCAAACCCGCGCAACCCUGGGACGCCGCAGUGGAGUGUGCAAACUUAACCACUCGGCCAUGGGGCCGGCCCCUAACACAUUUUUGAAAAUGCAAGAGAAAGGGGAAUUGAAAAUCAGAGUCACUCACCAGGUGACUGCCACAGUCAGCAGCUCAGUGGCAGGAAUGGAGAUUGAGCAAGCUGUUCGGCUUCCGGAACAGACACUGAGAAGGUGGGAGAUGGGCUCACUCGGCCCGGAUUGGCCCAACGUGAGCCCUUGUGCCGGGCUAGGAAGGAGCCCAAGCUUCCAGGGGAAGGGCUAGAAUUCUCGCCCCUGGUAAUUAUAUAUAUAAUAUUACAUAUUGCAUUAUAGAUUCUCUAUAUAUGUAAUUAUAAUAUGUUCUCUGAUUGGACAGGCCUGAGUCACUCUUGCAACCCAAAGCGGUGGACUGCAGGUGGACAAGAGUGUUCAAAAGGAACAUCAAGGUGCUGUGACCAGAAAGGAGAACAAGGCUGGGUGUGCCCACCUGAGUGAUGCCCACAGUUGUCUGUCCCCGGGGAGGACGUGGAGAGGCACAGACAAGAAGAGAUUGGUCCAGACUCUUUUGACUACACCAGUCGGUCUCUAGUCACGUAAGAAGUUCUUAGGAUCACAGGCCGAGGAAUGUAGCAGCCUCUGGAAGCUGGACAAAGCAAGGAGCUAUAUUCUCUUCUAGAACCUUCAAUAGUACAGUUCUGCUGACCCAUUUUGGAUUUCUAACCUCCAGAACUGGUCAUAGUAGAGGGAGCAGUCUGAGUGACCACAUGGGGACAUGUCAACAUCCACGCUUCCUUAGUUUCUGAGCUUUCAGAAGUGACCAGGUUUGUUUGCUGACCCAUCACUCCUUCCCAGGAUGCACUGCAAGAGAAACAAAAGAAAGGUCCUGUGAAGUGUCAAGUUGCGACUUGCUCUUCGCCCAGAGAGAACCUUCUUCACCAACAAUUACCACAUCAUCGUAAACACUCGGGAGAGACAUGAUGUAAAAAUGAAAUUACUGAAAACAUUUUUGGACUAACACUUGGCUUUAUAUAAACUCACAGACAAUCCUAUAAGGCACUCAAGCAGAUUAUGGGUUUGAGCAAAGCUGGAAAAUUGCUGCCAUUAUAUUGUUAUUAUUAACACCUUGUAAUUAGCCCUAAGGAAUCCCAAAGUUCUCUUUCUUGAUUUGGCUUUAAUGAAGGAAAAUUGCUACCUUUGCAAGUUGGAUGGCGCCCGUUCUGAUUAACCUUAAGUAUAUAGGACUAUUAUUUUGAAAAUGUUUGCUGUCAUGUGAAUAUUAGCAUUACAUACAACUGGGAAGGGGCUGGGGCUGGGAAGGUAGAGAGGAGGAGAUCCUCUUUUCCCUUCUCCUUCUUUCCGCCCCCCCACCCCCCCACCCCCAAAGGAAGGUGAAUCAUGGCCUUACUUCAGCUGUGGUCCUUGCUUGGAAAAUCAAGAAUGAAAGCCCUGUGAAGGCCAUGACCGCAAUUGCUUGGUCUUUGCCAAGCUCCACUGGCAAGGCUGUGGGCUGCCGGCUUCUCAACCUGUUGAUUGCACAGGCUGGCGGGGUAAUUGUACACGGUGGUUUUACCAUUACCUGGAGAGGGACCCUAUGGGGAUGAGAUCAUACGGGAGUUAGCACCUAGUGCCAUAAAGCAGGUUUUAUUUGCAUGUCCCAGAACUCUCCAGAGGCCCCUUCUGCAGCCUUCACAGGCACCGUGUCUCCAAUGAAACGCCGCCAACGUUAAUAAAAGAUCCCUCUAUAUAUCCCUCAACUCCCCUCCCACAGGCAAGUAAGUGCACUGUUUUCAUUACCUUCUCUGGGAAAACCAUACAUUAAAGAGAAGUCGUUUGAUCUUAUCUAUAAUUAAUUUGUAUUUUGAUAAUAUAGAGAAGGG